rnacentral:rRNA from 1 species
GGAGAGUGCAAACGUUGUUCGGAUUCACUGGGCGUAAAGGGCACGUAGGCGGCUCGGCAAAUCGGUCGUGGAAUCCCGACGCUUACCGUCGGAACGGCGGCCGAAAAUACCGGGCUCGAGGGCGUGAGGGGUCACUGGAACUCCUGGUGAAGCGGUGAAAUGCGUAGAUAUCAGGAGGAACGCCGGUGGCGAAGGCGCCCACCUGGCCUGCUACUGACGCUGAAACUCGAAAGCUAGGGGAGCAAACGGGAUUAGAUACCCCGGUAGUCCUAGCCGUAAACGGUGAUCACUAGGUGUUGGGAGCAUCGACCCUUCCAGUGCCGCAGCUAACGCAUUAAGUGAUCCGCCUGGGGAGUACGGCCGCAAGGUUG